UUUUUUUUAGUAUUAUAGAGUCAGUGAUCUUUAUUGAGUUAAAUACACUGUGAGUGCCCUAACUUGUCUGAUGUAGUUAGUUUGGUGCCUGAACUUGAAAAAUAUAUAAAAAUGAUGCCGUAACUUGUUCGGAUGUUCAAAUACGGUGCCUUUGGAUGUAUUGCCGCCGUAUCCGGUGCUUGUGUAGCAUGCCAACGUGUCGUUGGCCCACAUGUCAGUGGCUGCGGGCACGAGUCUGCUGUUUUUUUACAAGGAACCCCCAGACUUUAAGUAAAUGGCGCAAAAAAUACAUAAAACGCACUAAGGGAAUUUGAAUAAGGGACCUCGUUGAAAGAGGAAGGAGCUGACCAACCAGCCACGAUUUAGUUUACGUCCAAUUGCUAGCUAGCACGUUAUACAGCCUAUUCGACACGUAUUACACGCUUUUCUUUCAGUUUUCCUUUCAUAUUAUUUUCCAAGUUCCUAUCGGUUUUUUUUACUGAAGUUCCUCUUUAGUUUUCAUGAUACAUAAAUUUUUCAUACGAAAAAUAACAAUGAUCAUCAACAUGCAAUUAUUGUUUAUUUUAUAUCUUUGUUCCAUUUUUUGAUUUAUUGCGUACUUAGAAGAGAUAAACAUGAAUUUUUUUUUCUAAAAUUUUGUUUGGAUUUCAAAAGGUUGAACAUAUAUUAAAAAUUGUGUAAAUUCAUUAAUCUUCAUUUAGGACCACAAGCACACACAAUUAUUGUGUACCUUUAUUGUAUUUUCAAAAUACAAAUUUAUAAAUUUAUUGACAAUAUUUUAUUUUAAAAAUUGUUUAGGGUGUAUUUAAAAUUAUUUUGUAAAUUUUAUAAAUUCUGGAAAUGUACCAAUAUGUUAAGUGUGUUUGUAGAAAUGUAAGAAUAAUUUCACACAAUAUUGUUUUAAUACAAAUUGAACAUUUUCUAAAAACACGGUGAACAAUUUUUGAAAUACACAUUCAAGUUCAUGUUCAUUUUUAUUUUGAUAUUGCUUUUUCCCAUUUUAAAAAAUAAAUCUAAGAAAAAUAACAAUUGCCAUAAGAUUUGCUAAAAGUGUAGUGCAUUUAAGAAAAUGAUCAAGAUGUUUUUGAAAAACGUUUGAUGUGUAUUAAAAAAUUGUAAAUGUGUUCUGAAAAAAUGUUUGCCAUGCAUUAAAAGAAAUAACAACGUGUAUUUAAAAAUGAACAUGAAACUUGAACAACGUGUUUAUCUCACGUCUAUUAAGAAAAUAAACAACAUGUAUGUAUUAAUAAAACACCGAAGAUACACUAUAAUUGUGCGUGCGUGUGGUCUUGAAUGAAGAUACAUAUUUACACAAUAAUUUUUAAUAUAGGUUCAAACUUUUAAAUCCACAUUAAUUUAGAAAAAACCAUGUUUAUCUUCUCAAAGUACACAAUAAUGAAAAUAUAAUAAAUAUAUAAAAUAAACAAUAAUUUCAUAUUCAUAAUCAUAGUAUUUUUCAUUGGGAAAAUUUAUGUAUUAUGAAAACAAAACAGGCUCGGAAAAAGGAUAGGAACUUGAGAAAAAAUAAAAUGGAAACCCGCAGAAAACGUGUACAGAGUGAUACUGCUAUAUUAUUUGCUAGCUACUUGAGUAAAUAGACACAAACCAUGCAGAAAAAAGAGAGUAAAUAGACACAAAGCAAAGCACGGCCGGGUGUUCCGUUCCGUUGUCAGGCAACGUGCCAACCUCAAUUUUACUUUUUGCAACAUUUACUCAAAGUCCAGGGGUCCGUAAAAAACCAAGCCCGCAGCUCACAGCGCCCACAACAUUGGCAGUGACACGCCACACGGGUAAUGGAUACAUCAGCAUGCGUCUAAAGGCACCGUAUUUGAACGUCCGGACGAGUUACGACACUAUUUUUAUGUAUUUUUCAAGUUUAGGCAUCAAACUGACCGAGCUGAACAAGUUAAGGUACCCAUAGUGUAUUUAAGUCAUCUUUAUUAGUACCGCAAGCAAAGGCUGAAGGUAGUUUGAUGUGACCGAGAAAUCCUAGUACUUGUUGCAGAGCUCCGAGGGUCCGAAGACUGGUGGCAGGUGAUCACUCGAGUUCUUAUGUUUGUUAGCUGUUGUUCAGUUAUCUCUGUUUCCCUGAUGCUGAUAGUAACCUAACCACUUUAUGGUUGUUUGUUGGCAGGUCACCACUCAAGAGAUCUUAUGGUCAUUAUCAGGAUGUUUCACUCAACAGUUUUUGUGGUUACCAUUUCAGCCGUGCCCCGACGGCAAGGGUACCCGUCGCGUUCUCCAGUCUCCACCAUGCCUAGUCUUGUCCUGUGUUGUACUAUGUUUUUGUUGCUUCUUAAUAUAAAAGCAGCGCUACCCAUUCUGUUUUUCUUAUCAGUGGCAGCUUGUUUUCCAGUCGUCUCAACUUCAAUAUGCUUCUUCACCUAUUGCUUCUUGGCCUUAUUUUCACCCUACAGAUUCCUGCAUCCUCUGCUGCCAUUGACUCCAUUGCACCAGGCCAAGGACUUGUUUGCGGUGUUAGUGACAAGCUUGUCUCCCUAGAUGGCAAGUUUGCGCUUGGCUUCUUCCAACCAGGCAGUAUGUCCCACAACACCUUGAAUUGGUACCUAGGCAUUUGGUUUAAUAAAGUCCCCAAGAUAACUCCUGUGUGGGUCGCAAACCGUGAUGACCCAAUCACACAGCCCGCUUUAGUUAGCUUCACAAUUUCCCAAGAUGGCAAUCUUGUCAUCUUAGAUCAAGCCACCAAUAGCAUGAUCUGGUCUAGCAGAGUUAGUAUCAGAACCAACACCACCAUUGGCAUGCUCAUGAACAAUGGAAACCUUGUCCUACAAAAUGCCUCAAACUCAUCCGACAUUUUGUGGCAGAGUUUUGACCACCCAACAAAUACUUUCCUCCCUGGUGCAAAGAUCGGCCGAGACAAGGUCACUGGUUUGACUCGCCGUCUUGUUUCCAAAAAGAACUUGAUUGACCCAGCUCGUGGUCGUUACGUUUAUGAGUUAGUUCCUAACGAGUUGAUCCUUAAGCUUUUGAACUCAUCCGUAGCAUACUGGUCUAGCGGGGAAUGGAAUGGACAGUAUUUUAGCUCCAUUCCGGAGAUGUUAAGCCGCAGCUUGAUAGACUUCAAGUUUGUCAACAACACAAAUGAAGAGUACUUCACAUUCACCUUACUGAACGACACGAUGAUCAUGCAUCAUCUACUUGAUGUUUCUGGUCAAAUGAAGACUUUAAUCUGGGAUGAGGUUUCACAGGAUUGGUUAGGUUCCUACUCCAACCCCAAAGCUCAGUGUGAUGUCUAUGCUCUCUGUGGACCAUUCACUGUGUGCGAUGAUAACUCAGCUCCAUAUUGUAGCUGUAUGAAGGGCUUCUCCAUAAGAUCCCCAGAGGACUGGGAGCAAAAUGAUAGAAGCCGUGGAUGCAUGAGAAAUACUCCUUUAAAUUGUGGCAGUAACAGGAGUACUGCAGGAGUGACCGAUGAAUUCUAUUCCUUGUCCAAUGUGAAAUUGCCUCAGAAUGCUGACAACAUUGGCGCUGCUAUCAGUGCUAGAGAAUGUGCAGAAGUUUGCCUGAGAAAUUGCUCUUGCACUGCAUAUUCUUGCACUGACAGUCGAUGCUCCAUUUGGCAUGAGGAACUUCUCAAUGUAAAACAGCAGCAUGCUGACACUACCGAUACAAAUGAUGGUGCAGUUCUUUAUCUUCGCCUUGCUGCAAAAGAGAUGCAAACUCAGAAACCUGACCGAAGAGUGGCCACUCGGAUUUUGUCAGCUGCCAUUGUCACCGCACUGGGGUUGCUGGCACUCAUAUUGCUAGUUCUUCUACUGAUGAUUCGGGGGAACAAUAGGGAUUGGUCUGGUGGUACACUGAAAAAUCCUCAAGACGGUGGUGGAAUUAUUGCAUUUAGAUACAUUGAUUUGCAGAGGGCAACAAGAAAUUUCUCUGAGAAGCUAGGUGCCGGCGGCUUUGGUUCUGUGUUCAAGGCAUAUCUGACCGACUCAGCUACAAUGGCAGUGAAAAGGCUUGAUGGUGCUUGUCAAGGAGAAAAACAAUUCAGGGCUGAGGUGACUUCAGUCGGAGUUAUACAACAUAUCAAUUUAGUUAGACUGAUUGGUUUCUGUUGCGAGGGUGAACGGAGGUUACUUGCAUAUGAGCACAUGCCAAAUCGUUCUCUUGACAUCCAUCUAUUUCAGGACAACAACACAGUUUUAAACUGGUGUACCAGGUAUAAAAUAGCUCUGGGAGUUGCUAGAGGGCUGGCUUACCUGCAUGAGAGCUGCCAAGACUUGAUCAUACACUGUGAUAUCAAGCCACAAAAUAUACUUCUUGACACGUCGUUUGUUGCUAAAAUUGCUGACUUUGGUAUGGCCAAGUUAAUAGGGAGGGAUUUUAGCCGGGUUCUGACUACAGCAAGAGGAACUGCAGGAUACCUUGCACCCGAAUGGAUAAGCGGGGUUGCUAUCACAGCAAAAGUCGAUGUUUAUGGCUACGGGAUGGUGCUAAUGGAAAUAAUAUCAGGAAGACAGAAUUCAUUUGAACAAUACACUGUCGGUGGUGAUUGUGUUGUUUUCUUCCCUGUGCAUGCUGCGCAAAUGCUUCUCGAGGGAGAUGUGGCAAGCUUGGUGGAUGAAAAAUUAUCAGGUGACGUAAAUCUAGAGGAGGCUGAACGACUAUGCAAGGUUGCUUGUUGGUGCAUUCAGGAUGAUGAGUUUGAUCGGCCGACAAUGGGCGAUGUUGUUCGUACUCUAGAGGGUUUAUCUGAUCUUGAUACGCCUCCCGUUCCAAGACUACUUCAGGCCAUUACAAGGAGGAGCUCUCACCCCCCUUCCACCUACCUCUCUAAUGAAUCAGAAUAAUGAAGAUGCAACAUGGCGUACAUCAGAAACAAACAUCUAUUCCCUCCGGUCCAAAUUAAUUGACGCAGACUUAGUACAAAGUUAAUAUGAACCGGAGGGAGUAUUAAUAUAUAUGAAACAUAGUAAGAAAGUCUGAGGAAGCAAGAAGAAUGACACCAUAUAUCUGUGUAAUUUAAGCUUUACUCUCUGUAGUCUGUACCAGGUGUGAAAAAUAUCUGUCCAAUCGUUCUAAUCUACAGUAUGAAAUGAAAUUCGUCAAAAGCUCAGUGCAAUCUCUUGCAGGAUUGAUUUUGCUUCGUGGUGGUUUCGUUCACUUCUUCACUGGAAUAUAGUAUAUGUGUUAUCAUUUGUUGCCUUGCUCUGUUUAAUAUGGGAUUUUAGUCUGAGUAUGAUAAAUUCUAAAGUUAAUUUGAGGGCGGUCGUUCCUCAGGAUUCGUGGUAGUAGCUUCAUAUUCUGAUGGUCAUUUUGAAUUUGGACGGGAUGCAGUGUUGGUGGUGUAGGCCUUUCUGUUCUGUUCCAUUCCAUGACCAUUGCCCAACACAGAAACUACCGAGGCCUUAUUUUGAGCAUUGUGCUUGCAACAUGAAAAAUUUCGUGGAAGCAAUCGCUGGCUUGCAGCUGAAUUAUGCACAACGGAGUGUCAAGAUUCUAGUAUUUAAAUCUUACAUACAACUUUAGGUACACAUUCAUUCGCAAAAAAAAAGAAGCCCCUUUAGAUACACAUUGCAUACCAACAAGACCUCCAUUGCCGUCUCAGUCGACGCCGAGGGUUUGUGUUUCAAUUCACAGGCUGCUUCUGAGGGAUUUUGGAUGGAUUGGGCCAAAGAAAAAUAAGGAACAAGUGCUGCAUUUUUCAUGACGUUCAGUCCCUAAUAAAUAUGGGCAUCAUUACAAUAUUUUUUGGGUUAUGUAUUUUUGUAAAGUAGAACCAAUUACCUAAAUCAUCA
rnacentral:lncRNA from 1 species